GUCUUCUUUCUGUGUCUGGACCUUUAUAUCCUUAAGGCUCAGCCUCUGAUGUGGGACAGGGAGACAUACACACCUCCAAGGCAGCUGGAAGAAGCCAUGCAGGGCCUUGAGUGUAUCAUUUGGGAGAGCUGACAGGUCAGUCAAAGCUGCACCUUGCAAAAUAAGACCCACCUCUUCACGAGAGAGGACGUUGCUGCUCCGGUACUGCACAAACUAGCCCAGAAGAAAAGCCCCAAAUGUCCGUAAUUAGAGGAGAUGCCGUUUCUGUGCAUUGCUGUGCCCAGCACUGCGCGGGGAACAUCAUUCUAAAGUCUAGGGUCCUGCUUUUAGGCUCUGUACUGGUGAGAAUGGGCGGGGCUGUCUCACAGGAGAACAGGGCAAAUGAGGUAGGCUGCAGUCCUGGGAGAGCUGGCCUCGGUGACUCCUGCACAUCAAGCUCCCUCCUCCAGCCUUGUACUGCAAACUCCUGGCCAAGAUGAACUGAUGUGUGGUUCCUGUCGCCUCCCUGAUGUGCUCUUGACCCUCCUACACUCACCUCUCUUCCUAGACUUCUGCCUCCUUCUGCCUACGGAUCCUUUGAGCUUCGGCUGAAACAUCACCUACUCUUCACAAAAGCAAUUACUGUUCUCUGCGUUUUCACCUCUGGUUUGUCUGUGGGGGAGCUUCCCGGUCACCCCUGAGCUUGUUCCUUUGUUCUUUAUUCAACAAGAAUUAUUAUGUGCCAAAUACUCUACUAUUCAAAAUACCAAACUCAGUUAUGCA